AGCAGCCGCGGUAAUUCCAGCUCCAAUAGCGUAUAUUAAAGUUGUUGCAGUUAAAAGCUCGUAGUUGAAUUUCGGGGUCAGUAGGUUGGUCGUGCCAAUGGUAUGUACUGGCUUUACUGAUUCCUCCUUCUUGAAGAACUGUAAUGCCAUUAAUUUGGUGUUGCAGGGAAUCAGGACUGUUACUUUGAAAAAUUAGAGUGUUUAAAGCAGGCUUACGCUUGAAUACAUUAGCAUGGAAUAAUGAAAUAGGACGUUGAUCUUAUUUUGUUGGUUUCUAGGAUUGACGUAAUGAUUAAUAGGGAUAGUUGGGGGCAUUAGUAUUCAAUUGUCAGAGGUGAAAUUCUUGGAUUUAUUGAAGACUAACUACUGCGAAAGCAUUUGCCAAGGAUGUUUUCAUUAAUCAAGAACGAAAGUUAGGGGAUCGAAGACGAUCAGAUACCGUCGUAGUCUUAACCAUAAACUAUGCCGACUAGGGAUCGGAUGAUGUUAAUUUUUAAUGACUCAUUCGGCGCCUUAAC
rnacentral:rRNA from 1 species